ACUUCCAUGCCGAACUCAGAAGUGAAACGAAAUAGCGCCGAUGGUAGUGUGGGGCUUCCCCAUGUGAGAGUAGGACAUCGCCAGGC
rnacentral:rRNA from 1 species